CUAAGCCUAUGAUGGUUGGUUUUUCCCUGUGUGAAAAUCUGAACUGAGAGAAAAUAAUCUAUUCUGAGGUUUAG
rnacentral:snoRNA from 1 species